rnacentral:tRNA from 1 species
UCGGCAGAUCGUUGAGGCGCACGGCGCCGCCUUGCACGUGGCGGCGCGCCUCGCCGUUCGAGGCGGCCAGCCCGGCC